rnacentral:lncRNA from 1 species
AUAAUAGAAUUCUCAUGAGAUCUGGUUGUUUGAAAGUGUGUAGCACCUCCACCUUCUCUCUCUCUCUCCCUCUCCCUCUCCUGCCAGCCAAGUGAAGACAUGCUUACUUCCCCUUCACCUUCCUUCAUGAUGUGGGAAGAGUGCUGCAACCCAGCCCUAGCCAACGCCGCAUGAGAGGGAGUGUGCCGAGGGCUUCUGAGAAGGUUUCUCUCACAUCUAGAAAGAAGCGCUUAAGAUGUGGCAGCCCCUCUUCUUCAAGUGGCUCUUGUCCUGUUGCCCUGGGAGUUCUCAAAUUGCUGCAGCAGCCUCCACCCAGCCUGAGGAUGACAUCAAUACACAGAGGAAGAAGAGUCAGGAAAAGAUGAGAGAAGUUACAGACUCUCCUGGGCGACCCCGAGAGCUUACCAUUCCUCAGACUUCUUCACAUGGUGCUAACAGAUUUUUACCAUUGGAAUGACAUACUGCAUCCUAUAGUUAUACCAUCCACUCUGAAAUCAAUGUGAAUUUAACUUCAGUUCCAUACAGAAACUUCUUUUCCACAGACUCAGGAAUUUCAAGUGUGCUAUCCCUAUGUGUAUUGAUUAUAUCUUCAUCCUGCUC